AGCGAACAGGAUUAGAUACCCUGGUAGUCCACGCCGUAAACGAUGAGUGCUAAGUGUUAGGGGGUUUCCGCCCUUAGUGCUGCAGCUAACGCAUUAAGCACUCCGCCUGGGGAGUACGGUCGCAAGACUGAAACUCAAAGGAAUUGACGGGGGCCCGCACAAGCGGUGGAGCAUGUGGUUUAAUUCGAAGCAACGCGAAGAACCUUACCAGGUCUUGACAUCCUCUGACAAUCCUAGAGAUAGGACGUCCCCUUCGGGGGCAGAGUGACAGGUGGUGCAUGGUUGUCGUCAGCUCGUGUCGUGAGAUGUUGGGUUAAGUCCCGCAACGAGCGCAACCCUUGAUCUUAGUUGCCAGCAUUCAGUUGGGCACUCUAAGGUGACUGCCGGUGACAAACCGGAGGAAGGUGGGGAUGACGUCAAAUCAUCAUGCCCCUUAUGACCUGGGCUACACACGUGCUACAAUGGGCAGAACAAAGGGCAGCGAAACCGCGAGGUUAAGCCAAUCCCACAAAUCUGUUCUCAGUUCGGAUCGCAGUCUGCAACUCGACUGCGUGAAGCUGGAAUCGCUAGUAAUCGCGGAUCAGCAUGCCGCGG
rnacentral:rRNA from 1 species